rnacentral:RNase_P_RNA from 1 species
UUGGCCAGGCAAUCGCGAUAAAAUUUUUUAUCGAGGAAAGUCCGGGCUCCAAAGGGUAGAACGCCAGGUAACGCCUGGGAAGCGUGAGCUUACGGAAAGUGCAGCAGAGAGUAGACCGCCAAUUGGUUUUCCAGUUGGUAAGGGUGAAAGGGUGCGGUAAGAGCGCACCGCGCAACUGGUAACAGUUUGUGGCAAGGUAAACCCCGUUCGGAGCAAGACCAAAUAGGAAUCCGUUGGUGUGACCCGCACUGGAUUCGGGUAGGUUGCUUGAGGUUGGUGGCGACGCCAAUCCUAGAUGAAUGAUUGUCCAUGACAGAACCCGGCUUAUCGGC